GAUUGCGGAAUAUACAAACUUGAUGAUAAAGUUGGUGUAAAAAAUAUGAUGAAGGACCUCUAUCAAAUUCUAAAGCCAAGCCGAAAAUUGCUCUUCUACUUUGCAAACUUGAACUCGGCGUUCCUUACCUUUUCCGCCGGUGAUAUUUAUUCUCCUAUCGCAGACUUCGUGGACUAUUUUGUUAUGGAUUCCUUCGGUCAAGCUGGCCGUUGGUCAAUGUCAAUUGAUGUGCCUACAAAUUUGAAAAAGCUGGUCUGUUUAAAUGUCCCCCUCUCAUUGAUAUUUAAUUUUGAAAUAUAGAAGACAUCCUUUGAUUUUUUCAAAAACAAAAUCAAAAACAACAAAGACGUGGUGCAAAAGAUUUUGAUUCUGUUGAAUGUUGGAUGCCUGACUUUCGAAUUAAAAACACCAAACGCGCACAAAAUCGGUUCUGGAUUUGUGCAAAAAUCAAAUUUAUCACCUUUGACAUCCUUUGCAGACGUAUGCGAGGCAGUGAGAAAUAACAAUUUCACCGUGGUUAAAGAUAUAGCGACGCAGCAUUACGCCUACAGAGACAAGGUGUGGUAUGCUUUCGACGACUACCAGUCUCUAUUAGAAAAGGUCCGCUUCUUGAAAAGCAUUGAUGGAGCCGGUUUCGGGCUGUUCAACACGGACAUGGACGACGUGAAAAAUCGGUGCGGCUGCGGCAAAAUGCCCUUCUUGCGGAUGAUCGGCGAGCUCCUGAAGGGAGGUGAAUGCGAGCUGGACCGCUGCCCAUAGCUCCUAGUACCGCAAUAAUUGAUAGUGAUUACUCACAUUGUCUUGAUCUGGAACACCAGCAGGCCGUUGCGCAAAUUUGCUUCGAUUCUAAUUAUGUCAGCGGCGUGCAAAAACAAUGUAUUAUAAAUCGUC